UGCAUACAAAAUGAUCAGUUGAACCGCGCCUAAAACAAGCACUCACUUUGGCCCUACACAGUAUGUGGUGAGUAUCAGUAUGUGGUUUACCACAGUGUUCACACACCGGUCUCGGAGUAUUGCGAACACUGACCACACUAUCGGCAGGUUUAUUCAAGAACUUGGAAUCAUGUUCGCUCAGUUUAUUUAUGCUUGGAAACCCAAAUGACGCAGUGAUACGGUUAUCAUCUUCUUUUGCUUUUUUUAGUGGUGGUGCAGAAAAUGAUUAUAAAUUUCUUCCAUCUGACAUCCACUCCAUUUAAUUCUCAUGCAAAACCUUAUCAGACGAUUCCAGCUUCCAAAAACAACAGUUACAAAAAUCCUUACUUUAUGUCUAUUGUCCUUUUUCCUUCCAGCCCCCCUUCCAAGCAAAAACUCCUUCAAUCUAGUUCCAUCUGUCGUUUCCUCUCUGGCGCUCAUGGAUGAACUCAGGCAACCCUUCCUCAAGGUAAAAUUCCUCCCCCUUCUUUAAACCUUCAUUAGCUAUGGUAUGAGCACGGUUGUUCGUUGAUCUAGAAGUAUGUUUAAAAGAGAUUCUCCGAAAAUGGCCUUUAUGUUGUUGGAUAUCUCUGAUUAUGGCUCUAAUAGUUUAUUUAUCAAGAGAAUCUGACUUGCAUUUGUUUAUUAAUGUCUUCAAACCCCUUUCAAUCACCACUGAAUCAACCCCCAGCUGUAACCUCAACAUUACUGCCUGUAGGCAUGCACGGGCCUCUGCUACGAACAGAGUAGGAAUCCCCUAUGUAAAACUAUCUUCGAGGCCAGAAUCUUGCCUGAAACAUUUCUGGUCACAACACCUGCUCCAGAUCUAGUUUGAAUCAAAUUGAAAGCUUCAUCAAAGUUAACCUUCACCUCUGCGUCAAAUAGGGGACUCCACCUCGCAAAAACAUUAGAUCUGGAAUGUGAUUUCUCCUCUAUCGCAUAAAGUUCAUACAAAUAGCUUGUAGUCCAAUCUGCAAUAUCUUUACUAGAAAGCUUUUUCCCCUCAUGCACUAAUUGAUUCUUAUUAAACCAAAUACCCCAAAGACCACAAUAGAACACCAUGCACUACUCAUUAGUACUACUUAUGAAAAUCCAGGUAAUCCAAUCCCAGAAAUGCUGAAUUGAGUUUUGUAAAAUCCAAGAUAGAUUUCAAUUCACCCAUAUCUCUGUUGAUGUAGGGCAUACCUGCAAGAUAUGUUCGAUUGACUCCACUAAUCCAAGACACCUAGGACACAAGCAAUUUGUGGCUACCCUUUUGUAGUUUAGAUUGAGUAACGUAGGAAAGAAAUCCCAUGAAGCUCCCCAAAUUGUAAUUUUAAUUUUUGGAAGGAGC
rnacentral:lncRNA from 1 species